rnacentral:rRNA from 1 species
GAUGAACGCUGGCGGCGUGCUUAACACAUGCAAGUCGAGCGAAGCAGUUAAGAAGAUUCUUCGGAUGAUUCUUAACUGACUGAGCGGCGGACGGGUGAGUAACGCGUGGGUGACCUGCCCCAUACCGGGGGAUAACAGCUGGAAACGGCUGCUAAUACCGCAUAAGCGCACAGAGCUGCAUGGCUCGGUGUGAAAAACUCCGGUGGUAUGGGAUGGGCCCGCGUCUGAUUAGGCAGUUGGCGGGGUAACGGCCCACCAAACCGACGAUCAGUAGCCGGCCUGAGAGGGCGACCGGCCACAUUGGGACUGAGACACGGCCCAAACUCCUACGGGAGGCAGCAGUGGGGAAUAUUGCACAAUGGGGGAAACCCUGAUGCAGCGACGCCGCGUGAGCGAAGAAGUAUUUCGGUAUGUAAAGCUCUAUCAGCAGGGAAGAUA